rnacentral:rRNA from 1 species
AUGAACGCUGCCAGAAUGCUUAACACAUGCAAGUCGCUGGGGAAGUGGUGCUUGCACCAUGGCAACCAUGGCGGACGGGUGAGUAACGCGUAAGGGACUUACCUGCAGGACUGGGAUAACAGGGGGAAACUCCUGACAAGACCGGAUAAUGUCAUGGAGCUGCAUGGCUUUAUGAUGAAAGGAGACGCCUGCGGAGAGCCUUGCGUCCUAUUAGCUAGUUGGUGAGGUAAUGGCUCACCAAGGCGAAGAUAGGUAGCCGGCCUGAGAGGGUGGACGGCCACAAGGGGACUGAGAUACGGCCCUUACUCCUACGGGAGGCAGCAGUGGGGAAUAUUGGACAAUGGGGGCAACCCUGAUCCAGCAAUUCUGUGUGCACGAAGAAGGUUUUCGGAUUGUAAAGUGCUUUCAGCAGGGAAGAAGUAAGUGACGGUACCUGCAGAAGAAGCGACGGCUAAAUACGUG